UAUUAUUAUUUACUAUUAUCAUCAUUAUUGUUAUCAUGACUAUCAAACUUAACAACCUACUCAUUCUUAACUUACACUACGUUGUGUACAUUGCAAUGGAAGCACAGUGUGAUUUCACUGAGGUAUGUAUAAAUUAUGAAUUUCUCAUCACUAGUGGAUAUGUUUUUUGGGAUAACCAUUCGAUUGUGUGAUUUUCUUUUUCAAAGGAAAACAUGCAGCAAAUUAGGCGACGGGGGUGCCUAGUUCUCCUGCAGAACGUCGUAAGUCGAUGAUGUAGAAGAAGUCACAGCAUGUCACCCCAGCAUCCAGCUCUGCAGGAUCAGGUACUAGAAAACGUUUGACCUCUGUCAUUGCCAACAAAGGGUAUAUAACAAACUAUUGAGAUAAACUUUUGUUAUUGACCAAAUACUUAUUUUCCACCAUAAUUUGCAAAUAAAUUCAUUAAAAUC